GAUGAACGCUGGCGGCGUGCCUAAUACAUGCAAGUCGAGCGAACAGACGAGGAGCUUGCUCCUCUGACGUUAGCGGCGGACGGGUGAGUAACACGUGGAUAACCUACCUAUAAGACUGGUAUAACUUCGGGAAACCGGAGCUAAUACCGGAUAAUAUAUUGAACCGCAUGGUUCAAUAGUGAAAGACGGUUUUGCUGUCACUUAUAGAUGGAUCCCCGCCGCAUUAGCUAGUUGGUAAGGUAACGGCUUACCAAGGCAACGAUGCGUAGCCGACCUGAGAGGGGGAUCGGCCACACUGGAAGUGAGACACGGUCCAGACUCCUAAGGGAGGCAGCAGGAGGGAAUCUUCCGCAAUGGGCGAAAGCCUGACGGAGCAACGCCGCGUGAGUGAUGAAGGUCUUCGGAUCGUAAAACUCUGUUAUUAGGGAAGAACAAAUGUGUAAGUAACUAUGCACGUCUUGACGGUACCUAAUCAGAAAGCCACGGCUAACUACGUG
rnacentral:rRNA from 1 species